rnacentral:rRNA from 1 species
CACGUAGGGUGCGAGCGUUUGUCCGGAAUUAUUGGGCGUAAAGAGCUUGUAGGCGGUCUGUCGCGUCUGCUGUGAAAAUCCGGGGCUCAACCCCGGACUUGCAGUGGGUACGGGCAGACUAGAGGUGUGGUAGGGGAGACUGGAAUUCCUGGUGUAGCGGUGAAAUGCGCAGAUAUCAGGAGGAACACCGAUGGCGAAGGCAGGUCUCUGG